CGGAUCCGAUUUACCGGAAUUUACGGUGAUUGCACGGUGAUUUCACCGUGCACGUUCACCGUGAUUUUCGGUGAAAUCACCGUAGUUUACGGUAAAAUCACCGCGAUUAACGGUAAAAUCACGGUGAUCCUACAUUAUAAAAUAGAUGAAAGUCUUGAAGUUAGUCAAAGGUCGAAACUCGCAAAAAACGGGCCACGAUUCAUUAUUGGUUAAGAUUUAGGCGCACGCGUAGCGCGCUAUUCACAUUUCUAGUAUAUUUUAAAUUGAA